UGGUAGUGGGGGAUAACGUUCCGAAAGGAACGCUAAUACCGCGUACUUCCUACGGGAGAAAGCAGGGGACCUUCGGGCCUUGCGCUAUCAGAUGAGCCUAGGUCGGAUUAGCUAGUUGGUGAGGUAAUGGCUCACCAAGGCGACGAUCCGUAACUGGUCUGAGAGGAUGAUCAGUCACACUGGAACUGAGACACGGUCCAGACUCCUACGGGAGGCAGCAGUGGGGAAUAUUGGACAAUGGGCGAAAGCCUGAUCCAGCCAUGCCGCGUGUGUGAAGAAGGUCUUCGGAUUGUAAAGCACUUUAAGUUGGGAGGAAGGGCAGUAAGUUAAUACCUUGCUGUUUUGACGUUACCGACAGAAUAAGCACCGGCU
rnacentral:rRNA from 1 species